rnacentral:rRNA from 1 species
AGGAACAUCCUGUAGCGGCCUCUAGUGUACCGGUUAUCCGACAGGGUACUACGCCGGGCAGCCACGCCGUAAGGGAUAAGCACUGAAUGCAUCUAAGUGCGAAGCCCGCCCAGAAAAUAGCCACCCAUUCUCCAGUCUUUAAUGCACGGCGAGCUCAAGGCCGUGUCCCGAAAAAAUUAGCCGAAUGCGGGACGGC